CCUACGGGGGGCUGCAGUGGGGAAUAUUGGACAAUGGGGGCAACCCCGAUCCAGCCAUGCCGCGUGUGUGAAGAAGGCCCUUGGGUUGUAAAGCACUUUCAGUGAGGAAGAACGCCUGGUGGUUAAUACCCAUCAGGAAAGACAUCACUCACAGAAGAAGCACCGGCUAACUCCGUGCCAGCAGCCGCGGUAAUACGGAGGGUGCGAGCGUUAAUCGGAAUUACUGGGCGUAAAGCGCGCGUAGGUGGCUUGAUAAGCCGGUUGUGAAAGCCCCGGGCUCAACCUGGGAACGGCAUCCGGAACUGUCAAGCUAGAGUGCAGGAGAGGAAGGUAGAAUUCCCGGUGUAGCGGUGAAAUGCGUAGAGAUCGGGAGGAAUACCAGUGGCGAAGGCGGCCUUCUGGACUGACACUGACACUGAGGUGCGAAAGCGUGGGUAGCAAACAGGAUUAGAUACCCGUGUAGUC
rnacentral:rRNA from 1 species